rnacentral:rRNA from 1 species
UCAGGACAAACGCUGGCGGCGUGCCUAACACAUGCAAGUCGAACGAAGCACUGUGGAAAGAGACUCGGUCAAUUGAAACUUUGACUUAGUGGCGGACGGGUGAGUAAUGCAUGAGCAACCUGCCCUGGAGAGGGGGACAACAGCUGGAAACGGCUGCUAAUACCGCAUGAUGUUGCGGGGAGGCAUCUUCCUGCAACCAAAGAUUUAUCGCUCUGGGAUGGGCUCAUGUCUGAUUAGAUAGUUGGCGGGGCAACGGCCCACCAAGUCUGCGAUCAGUAGCCGGACUGAGAGGUUGAACGGCCACAUUGGGACUGAGAUACGGCCCAGACUCCUACGGGAGGCAGCAGUGGGGAAUAUUGGGCAAUGGGCGCAAGCCUGAACCCCAGCAACGCCGCGUGAAGGAAGAAGGCUUUCGGGUUGUAAACUUCUUUUAUCAGGGACGAAGAACGUGACGGUACCUGAUGAAUAAGCCACGGCUAACUACGUGCCAGCAGCUGC